GGACCUCGAUCAGGCAAGAUUACCCGCUGAGUUAAGCAUAUCACUACGC
rnacentral:rRNA from 1 species